rnacentral:lncRNA from 1 species
AAAAAACCAUGGCUCAUACAUGUCUGGCCGCCAUGGUGUCCUCCGUCACAGUCUCACUGCCCUAUCUGACCACCUCCUCCUACGCCAAACCGCCGUCUUACUUCUUCAGCAACCUCAAAAUCCUCCUUCUCAAAGCACCCCUUUCAGCUUCCCGACGAAGAACCCCCAAUUUCACUAGGUAUAAUAUGUAAUUACGAGUUCCUGUUUUCUUGUGUUUAUGAUCGAGCUAGCUUCUGUAUUUUAUUCAGGUGACUGAUAACCUUGUGGGGCGCCCCCAUAAUUGGAGCCUUUCGAUCACUGUGAAUUGCUACAACGAUCAAGUAGUAGACGAGGAUGAAGAUGAAGAAUAGGAUCGGAGUUUGGAUCUGUUAGUUAGAUUUGUUCAAAACGUAUUUAGAAAGAUUUCUAAACGAGCAAGGAAAGCCGCUCGAUCGGUUUUGCCUGUCUUCAUCCCUAGUAAUCUGGUAGGUAUCCUUCAAUCGAUUUUAUAUUCCUUUUUUUUCCUUAUGUAAUUUAUGAAGGAUCCCUAGGUGGGAUUAUCCGUUAAUGGUGGGUUUUAACGGCAUUUCUUGAGGUAAUUCAUCAUUUGAUUCACCUGUGUUUAAAUCGAGUAGUUAGUCACUUUACACUUACUACUUAACUCGCUAGCUUGGAUAUCAGCAAUUCGACUAUUUAUACAAAAGUAAUUAGCAAAAAUCAGCAGCGUUUCAAAUAUUUAUAAGCAGCAAAUUAGCAAUUCAUGUUCAUGUGUUUACCAGCAACUAAACUAACUUUUCAGUUUUUGUGAAGUAUGAGGACUAUAUUUUGAUAAACUAAUGGGAUUAGCUGCUUAGUUUUCAUAAAGUAGAGGGAUAGGAUAAACUAAUGUGCAGCUGUAAUUACUUAUAUGGAAAAUAUUGAUUUUAAUAGUGUUAGAGUCGGAUAAUGUUAGACUGAAAUGAAAUGGAAUAGGAUAAACUAAGUUAUAAACCAAAAGGGAUGAUUGGUUCAGUAGACUGAAAUGAAAUACUGUUAAACUGAUAGAAUAAAUCUACAUCUAUUGGUGGAAAACCUUGGCUGUUCUGGCUGGGAAUUCAAUAUGCUUUCUUAAGUUUUUGUGUUCAACAUUUUUAUUCUGGGUUGGUCUGGUUAUUAGUGCUGUUAACUUGGUUGGAAAUUUGGGCUUUUAGUUAUUUACAGUAGGGAUGUUUUGCGAACCAAUCAGCAACUUUCAGUUAGUUAUAUACAGUGGGAGGGUGGAUAUGGUCUCCCUGAUAGCUUUGAGGUAAUAUUAAUUUUCAAGACAAAGAACAACCUUUUAUAGAUAAAUAUCCUAAGAAAAUGUACAUAAAAAGACAUUAAGAAACAGAGUUGAAAGGUUCAUAUGUACUGAGAUCCUUGACAAUUGUAGCAAUGGAGCCAGCCGCUGCAAGAACUGAUACAAUCAGGCAAAGCAACACCAAGAAGUUUAACCAUAUCCAUUUCCAACUAAAGGCUCGGAUCUGUUCUCUCGAUAUGUGCAUUUGGAUUGGGAAAUACACUGUCAGCGGCCAAAACGAAGCGGCACCCAGGAGGCCGAGGAUUGCAUUGAAGAACGGUAGAAGCAUCGCCAGCACGAUG